GAUGAACGCUGGCGGCGUGCCUAAUGCAUGCAAGUCGAGCGAACAGACGAGGAGCUUGCUCCUCUGACGUUAGCGGCGGACGGGUGAGUAACACGUGGAUAACCUACCUAUAAGACUGGGAUAACUUCGGGAAACCGGAGCUAAUACCGGAUAAUAUAUUGAACCGCAUGGUUCAAUAGUGAAAGACGGUUUUGCUGUCACUUAUAGAUGGAUCCGCGCCGCAUUAGCUAGUUGGUAAGGUAACGGCUUACCAAGGCGACGAUGCGUAGCCGACCUGAGAGGGGGAUCGGCCACACUGGAACUGAGACACGGUCCAGACUCCUACGGGAGGCAGCAGUAGGGAAUCUUCCGCAAUGGGCGAAAGCCUGACGGAGCAACGCCGCGUGAGUGAUGAAGGUCUUCGGAUCGUAAAACUCUGUUAUUAGGGAAGAACAAAUGUGUAAGUAACUAUGCACGUCUUGACGGUACCUAAUCAGAAAGCCACGGCUAACUACGUG
rnacentral:rRNA from 1 species